AUAACCGGCGAACGGGUGCGUAACACGUGAACAACCUGCCCUCGUGUGGGGGAUAGCCAUGCUAACGCGUGGGUAAUACCGCAUACGUUUCUCUGGGGGAGUCCCUGGGGAAGGAAAGCUCCGGCGCACGGGGAGGGGUUCGCGGCCUAUCAGCUAGUUGGCGGGGUAAUGGCCCACCAAGGCGACGACGGGUAGCUGGUCUGAGAGGAUGGCCAGCCACAUUGGGACUGAGAGACGGCCCAG
rnacentral:rRNA from 1 species